UGGGGGAUCGUCUAGUGGUAGGACAGCGGUCUCUGGAACCGUAAGCCGAGGUUCGAAUCCUCGUCCCCCAGCCA
rnacentral:tRNA from 2 species